CCCCACUCAGCAGCCACACUGUGUGACAACCACCAAGAAGACCCUCAGGAGCAUGGAGGCAGCUCCCAAGCCAGUUAUCUGUGACAGGCCACUGACCAAUCAAGGGAGAAUGACUUAAAGACCAUCCACUCAUCAAUUUCAGCUAAAUGGCUCUGAGCUAAAAAGAGGAGCCCUGGGUUCUUCAGUGACUCCUUGAGGCCUACUCUGCUGUUUCUUGUCUGCCAUUCCUCAGAUUGUGGCUAUAGCUGCUGUCAAUUUCCAUGCCUUUGUUACAAGAGCUGGGCUGCCAGCCACAGAGCAGAAGAGAAGGGCUUCGUAGGAUUUGGAGUUAGCUUGAACCUGAAGGUCUCCUUAGUGGAUGGCAGCACCAACCUGGGCUCUAGGUUAAGGAGGCCCAGGCCACAUCCCAGAUCCACCCUGUGGCUUCUCUGGCUCUUAAGAAACAGAGAAAGGAAAAGGGGCGGGGGGCGGGGGGCAUCAGCAUUUCCAGAGGGACUAGCAACAGUUUCAGUAUCUAAAUUGUCCCUGGAGACCCAGCUGGGCUCAGAAAGUCCCACACCAGAGCCCUGUCGCUCAAGGUCUCCUCUUCCGUCCUCAGGUAGCCCCCAGCCCUUGCUCACAGUGCUUCAUCGGGCAGAGCUGACCUUAGCACUUGAAAGAAAGCCCAAAGGAGUCCAAUUCUGAGGCUGGAGUCAUGGC
rnacentral:lncRNA from 1 species